rnacentral:rRNA from 1 species
UACGUAGGGUGCAAGCGUUAAUCGGAAUUACUGGGCGUAAAGCGUGCGCAGGCGGUUAUGUAAGACAGAUGUGAAAUGCCCGGGCUUAACCUGGGAACUGCAUUUGUGACUGCAUGGCUAGAGUUUGGCAGAGGGGGGUAGAAUUCCACGUGUAGCAGUGAAACGCGUAGAUAUGUGGAGGAACACCGAUGGCGCAAGGCAGCCCCCUGGGUCAAGACUGACGCUCAUGCACGAAAGGCGUGGGGAGCAAACAGG